rnacentral:rRNA from 1 species
CGGAGGGAGCUAGCGUUGUUCGGAAUUACUGGGCGUAAAGCGCACGUAGGCGGCUAUUCAAGUCAGAGGUGAAAGCCCGGGGCUCAACCCCGGAACUGCCUUUGAAACUAGAUAGCUUGAAUCCAGGAGAGGUGAGUGGAAUUCCGAGUGUAGAGGUGAAAUUCGUAGAUAUUCGGAAGAACACCAGUGGCGAAGGCGGCUCACUGGACUGGUAUUGACGCUGAGGUGCGAAAGCGUGGGGAGCAAACAGGAUU